rnacentral:RNase_P_RNA from 1 species
UGAGUAAGUCAGAUGAUCGCGUGUUAUAUGCACGAGGAAAGUCUGGGCUCCACAGGGUAGGGCGCUGGAUAACACCCAGUGGGGGUAACCCUAAGGAUAGUGCAACAGAGAGAUACCGCUAUUGGGAGGUGGGAGGUUAGAACCUCUCGCUUCUCAAUAGUAAGGCUGGAAAGGUGAGGUAAGAGCUCACCAGGGAUUAGGCGACUAAUCUGCUAUGUAAACCCCGUCCGGAGCAAGACCAAGCAGGGA